GCCGCAACAGCUCAGUGGGAGAGCCCCCGCUUUGCGUGCUGGUAUACCCGGGUUCGAUUCCCGGUUGCUUCC
rnacentral:tRNA from 1 species